rnacentral:lncRNA from 1 species
UGCCAAGCAAAGUGUCGUGUGUGCCUCUGCUAGAUGAGGUCAGGACAUCGUUCUCAUCCCUGAACUCCGGUUUGUUUCACGUAUACGCCGUGGAUGCCGCUGGGGUGCUCGCCUGAAGCCGUUGUCCAUCAGCUGGACUCGUUCCUGGUCCAAGGGCUUUUUAUAUACUGGACGACUUUAUCCCUCGUCCAACUAUCCAAAGCAAGAACAAACAAUGCCACCAUCGAGGCUAGCGGAGAGAGAGAGGGUGAAGCUGCCGCGUAUAGGGGAGAUAGAGACUUCAGCGGCGGGAAUCGCUGACCACCGACACCGAGCGGGAGAUCGAGCACACCAGUGUCAAGAAAGAUGCGACCCAAAGACCCAUCGGUGAACAGCCGCUCAUCGAGUAUCAGCAUCACCGCUCGAGCUUCGAGCUUCACCUGUCGUCGCCGUCUCAGGUAAGCGUCCUCUCUGUUGUGAUCACCGCUUUGUUUGGGUGCGUCUACGGUCUGUCCUGUGCUCGGGGACUCUGGGUGGCGCCGGGCAGUGCACCGUCGUGGACGGCGGGCAUGCCAUGGUUAGCUUGCGGAGAGAGAUGGGAGUGUGCGGUUGAAGACAAGCAUGUGUCACUAAUUGGCAAUUGGAUGGCCCAAUCAUUUUGGGUGUAUCGCUUCAUCAUUCGUAGUUUGAAACGUCGAUCUCCGAUUGUGUGGCUCUGAUUAGAUUAGGAGUAGCGAUCGGUUUUGAAGCACUGGUCGAGUAAUAGACGGUGUAGAUUAGAUCUGUGUUAUUUAAAAGGUGGGUCGUCAAUCCCAUAGUGGACAGCUAGGAUUAUAUCGUCACAUAUCCCUUCGUGAUUUGGAUCGGAGCCGCAGAUCUAGCGAUCAACGGCUCAUGUCCGUCUGCAUGUGUGUUAGCCGGGUAAUAAUUCAUAAAGAGACUCUCGACUUUAUCCUAUUUAACCCGCGGUCUCGACUAGUGCUAAGAGUGUUACCACUAGGUCCUAGAAUUUACAAGUGACCCUCUGAGAUCCUAGAGAAUAGUGGUCGUAGUUGGUGGAACUUGAAAAUACCCAAAAUAAAUCUGGAAACUAGUUUUCACUGUGAAACUAAAUAUAAAAUCUUAGAAAAUUCAUAUCUUCUCUUUUUUAACUCCGAUUAGAUCCAUUCAAAUUGCGUUAGCUUCAUAGUAAAGUUACUUACGCAAUAACAACACUAUUUGUAUCAUGUCACAUACUUCUAUAACCAUAUAUUUGUUUAAAUCUAUGUUUAGUAGAUUAAGCUUGCUAAUCAAAGUUAAUAGGUCUAUAAUUAUAACCUAACUAAAUAUGAUCUCUACACAAGUACCAUAGAUUAAGAUUGAAUUAAUUAGUUAUUUGGAAUAUAUUUUCUCACAUGAGUAUAUUAAUCAAACCUAGAUUAUAGUUCUCCUUGUUGAUCACCUAAAACUUAUAAAGCCCAUAACUUUCUCAUUUAACUCCGAUUUUAGUGGUUCUCGAACCUACGAUCUCGUAGAGACGCGUAGAAUAUUCUUACGCUAUUUAUUCAUAUGCUUUGGUGUAAUGUUACCAUAUACAUUAUUUGCUUGAUUGUAUGAUUGCUACGAGUAGCAGCGAGGUCACGAGAAACCCGAAGACCAAGUUGGUGAAGUACUUGGAAUCUCAAGUAAAAGGCAAGUUGUGCCCUUGAUCACUCUUCUUUACCUAAUAAUGUUCUCUAUUAAUCACUAUGACAUGCUCAAGUUGAUUUUGAUGAGACCUAAUAGGUUUCCUUAGUUUUGUUUACCCCA